GGGGAAUAUUGGACAAUGGGCGAAAGCCUGAUCCAGCCAUGCCGCGUGAGUGAUGAAGGCCCUAGGGUUGUAAAGCUCUUUCAACGGUGAAGAUAAUGACGGUAACCGUAGAAGAAGCCCCGGCUAACUUCGUGCCAGCAGCCGCGGUAAUACGAAGGGGGCUAGCGUUGUUCGGAAUUACUGGGCGUAAAGCGCGCGUAGGCGGUUUUUUAAGUCAGAGGUGAAAGCCCGGGGCUCAACCCCGGAAUUGCCUUUGAAACUGGAAAACUAGAAUCUUGGAGAGGUCAGUGGAAUUCCGAGUGUAGAGGUGAAAUUCGUAGAUAUUCGGAAGAACACCAGUGGCGAAGGCGACUGACUGGACAAGUAUUGACGCUGAGGUGCGAAAGCGUGGGGAGCAAACA
rnacentral:rRNA from 1 species